rnacentral:rRNA from 1 species
UACGUAGGGUGCAAGCGUUAAUCGGAAUUACUGGGCGUAAAGCGUGCGCAGGCGGUCCGUUAAGACAGAUGUGAAAGCCCCGGGCUUAACCUGGGAACUGCGUUUGAUACGGAUGGGCUAGAGUUCGGGAGAGGAGAGUGGAAUUCCCAGUGUAGAGGUGAAAUUCGUAGAUAUUGGGAAGAACACCGGUGGCGAAGGCGGCUCUCUGGACCGAGACUGACGCUGAGGCGCGAAAGCGUGGGGAGCAAACAGG